GACGUAGGGCGCGAGCGUUGUCCGGAUUUAUUGGGCGUAAAGAGCGUGUAGGCGGCCAUGCAGGUCAGCUGUGAAAACUCGAGGCUCAACCUCGAGACGUCGGUUGAAACCGUAUGGCUAGAGUCCGGAAGAGGAGAGUGGAAUUCCCGGUGUAGCGGUGAAAUGCGCAGAUAUCGGGAAGAACACCCGUGGCGAAGGCGGCUCUCUGGGACGGUACUGACGCUGAGACGCGAAAGCGUGGGGAGCGAACAGG
rnacentral:rRNA from 1 species